rnacentral:rRNA from 1 species
CCUACGGGUGGCAGCAGUAGGGAAUAUUGCUCAAUGGGGGAAACCCUGAAGCAGCAACGCCGCGUGGAGGAUGAAGGUUUUCGGAUUGUAAACUCCUUUUGUUAGAGAAGAUAAUGACGGUAUCUAACGAAUAAGCACCGGCAAACUCCGUGCCAGCAGCCGCGGUAAUACGAAGGGUGCAAGCGUUAAUCGGAAUUCCUGGGCGUAAAGGGCGCGUAGGCGGGUAAGCAAGUUAGAUGUGAAAUCCUAUGGCUUAACCCUAGAACUGCAUUUGAAACUGUUUUUCUAGAGUAUGGGAGAGGUAGGUGGAAUACUUGGUGUAGGGGUAAAAUCCGUAGAGAUCAAGAGGAAUACUCAUUGCGAAGGCGACCUGCUAGAACAUAACUGACGCUGAUGCGCGAAAGCGUGGGGAGCAAACAGGAUUAGAUACCCGUGUAGUC